GUCGUCUCAUCCGGCUCGGCCCGGCCCGGCCCGGCCCGGCCCGGCCCGGCCCGGCCCGCAGGUCGCAGCCCCGCUCGAGCUCCGCGGAGGAGCUGGGCGCUCCCGUUUGCCUCGGGUGUGGGAGCUUCCUCAGCCUGCCCGCAGGGACAUUACUGUAAGGUAUUCUCUAUACUUUGACCGUUUUGUUCUCAACUUUACAAUCUUCUGGGUCAAUCUUCAGAACAUGGGAAUGUCACCCUAGCUUCUGGAGGACAAUUGAUUAUCAUCUAUUCACAAGGUAAGUAGUUUGAACCACCCAAAUUAAAUGGAUUAAUUGAAGAGAUAAACUACCUACCUAAUAGUUCAGAAUUGGACGUGUCCUUGCAGAAAAGCAUUGUGUAUAUGCUCCCAUGAAAAAAGUACAAAGAACAAAAAGAUACACUGAAAUAGGACAUGAGGAUCAGUUCAGGAAGAUAAAAUGGAUAACAACAUAUUAAGAAAGCACGAGAGACAGUUACACACAGGACUCCCAUCUGCAAACUGCUCCAGUAAACGCUCUGUUGAGUCAAUUCAUUCAUGGAAGCCCUUGCUGGAGGACACUACUGACCAUACGUUAUAUGAACCUUUCGUGAUCCUGCUGGAAUCCAGCCCCAGCAGUCACAGCGGCAGGAUCUUUACUUAAAACAGCCACUACUGUUAAGAAAUAGAAUUUAAAAAUGAGAAAGAAAUGAAAAGGAAACAGACAAUUGUAAAAAAAUAUUUUUCAAGGCAUGCAAAUAUUACUUGUCUUUUACUUCUGUGGUUGAAAAUAAUAUAUCACCUCUGAAAGUUGAAUAUAAUAAACCUCUCAAAUAAGACACUGAAAGUGUGUGGUGAACUUUAAAAGUAGAACUUAAUCAAACAGUAAUGUUUCCUAUAAUGCUGUAGUAAAUCUUAUUCAUCCUCGAGCUUAUAUAUUUCAGUUUAAGGAGAACAGUCCCUUGCAGAGAGAUGAGAAAACUGAGCUCUGUAAAACAUAAAUAAAUAAAUAAAUAUGGUCUAUAUUUAGCAUUUGGUGCAUCAUGAUUAAAUUACUGAAAUUGCCUCUACAGAAGCAUUAAAACUUAACUACAAAAAAUUGUGGGUUUUUUGCAUCAUGAGGCACAUUAACUGUUAAGAGCAAGGCUUCCCUUGCAAGAUUUACAGAUCAGUUCUGAAGCAAUAAAAAAGUUCUAGAAUUCAAAUAAAACCUGAAAAUUCAAAUCUGUAAGACAAGUUGAAUCAGUCAGAUUCAACCAUCUUGUCUGAGAGGCUGUGAACUGUAUUUCCCUAUCGAAUAAAGUCUCUAAUUUUCCCUUACUUUUUUUUUAGCAUAAUCUUUCAAAUUAUUUUUAAAUAUAAUUUUACGUUAAUUAUGUAAGGUUUGAAUUGGACUAGAUGGCCUUCAGAGGUCCCUUCCAAAUCUAAGGAUUCAAUGAUUCUAUGAUUCUAUAUAUAAGGAGUCAAACUGAACCAUAUGGUAAAAGUCUAAUUAGCUAAAAUUUUAUUCAUUUAAAAUACAAGCAAGCAGUUAUUGAAAUGGACUCUCCUGCAUGGCACUGCAAAGAGUCCCUAUCAACCAUAUCUACAGCUGGCCUCAGAAAUCUUUUUUGCCAUUCCAAGUAGUGACUGCCACUGUACCCAGACUUCAGCUGCUGCAAAUAUUCCCACAUUGCAAUGUCCUCCCUGCAUGACGAUGACUCCAUAUGGAGCAGCAUAAUAUAGACUUGCAAGUUUCAUGAUGCACUGUGGUCUUAUUUACCCAAAAAAAAGGCAGAGAUGAGUUACCAGCUCAGUGCAGAAAAGGGCAAAGAUUCGGGGUCCACAUGGCUCUGGUGUGCCUGGAAGCUUAGCUUGAUAUAUCUGCAGAGUCUCCAAACAUACUUGAAAAAGCUUGAAAAAUAACCUGUUGAUUGAAUGGACCUCAAUACCAACUUGAAUGGUUAAAUGCAGAAAGAAUACAUGCAUAGGACUGUAGAAUAAAUUAUCCAAUUAGUUAUGCAACUUAAUCACACUGCUUGCCAUCCCAGAAGACAACAUUAUCAAAGGAAUUCAGGGUCAGGUUUUCCCAAGCUCUCAUCUUCCCAUAUGGUGACCUUUUUUCAAAAUCUGCCUGAGAGUGGGACUGCUUGGCAAAGAAUAAAAGCCAAGAUUUCUGAAUAAGCUCUCCACUCACUCUCAUCAGUUAUAUUUUAAAGCACAAAAUUAGCUCCAUAUAAUUUCCUGAGAUUUGACAGUCUCGCUAUUAUAGAUCCAACUAGAGAGUGGCAGACUUUGUUCAGCUUUCUUCACAGCACAGAAAAGAGAGAACUGUCCCUGUAAACAUGUCACAGUGUCAAACAUAAGCACUUAUUGGAUGGGAAAUGGGUGUGAUACACAUCUGCUCCAGCUCAGUAAGCACAGCACAGUGUUCCCAUUUAAAUCUUCCCUAUAGGACUUUGCUGAAUGUACUUAUUACCCGUGGAAUUGUCAAUUCCUAGUUUAGUAAGCAGAGUUUUUGUUAAAAAUUGAUUAUUAUAACAGUGAUAUAAUUAAUAAUAACCAGUUUCAACUCAAUCAUUUAAACUAAAUUAUUUAAAAAUUUUACAGAGAGAACAAAAAUAGUCCAGUUACUAACUAUGCUGUGCAUAGCUAUACGAAAAAGUAAUGAAGAAUGGGUAAAAUAUACCAUGAAUUUACAAUUACUGUUUUCAUGAUACUUUUAAAUACUAUUUUCUGAAUACUUUAAUACUACAUAUGUGCAGUUGGCUAAUAGAGAAAGAACAGUCACACAUUUGAAAAGAGACUUUUACUGAAGACAGAUUAAAUUUUUCAAACACCAUGUGUUCUUCUUGCCUGGCAGAGUAUCAGCUUGCCUAGUGAAAAUUAUCUUUUCCUUUGGAUAAAAAGAGAAGGGUAUAAGAUGUAUCCAAGGAAUUACAAUUCCUCUUGGCUGACCUAAGCAGAAGAAUUGGUGUGUAUCUCUGAAAGGAGUUCUUUAUUAAACAGCAGGGCAGUCUGGACAGUCAGUCCAUUUUGGGGGCCCACUCCUGUUCCAAAACCAGUAAAACUGCUAGACUCCCAGGGAUUCAAAAGAACCAUCUGCGAGAUACUCACUUAGGUCCUGAGUUCUCUUCAUAUAAAAUGUUUUAGAAGGCAAUAAACAAAACAUAAUUUGUCCCCUCCAGAAGAAUGUAGUCGCUUUAGAAAGAAAGAGAGAA